UUAGAUGCUACAUAUAAGAGUAUGGAGUCAUUCUUUCAGAAAUGAGCUCUAAAAGGUGAAUGCAGCUCUUAUAUUUUCUGGCAAAAAAAAUCUGUGAUCUUGUUUACUUACUGUUUUGUAAACCAGGCCAACAACAUGGGGGAAAAUGGUAAAUGGAUUUAUCUGACUUUGACAAGUAACAAAUAAGACUUUAAAUCCUUUAAAUUAUGGCAGAAGUGUCUUUAACUGAGGUAUUCUCAGGGAACUAUUACUGAAUGACUGCUAACAGUGAAUGUAAAAGUUUGAGUCUGUUUGCAGAAUUUUGACAAUGUGUAGAAAAAACACAUAAUGAAUUCAAACAUGCACAAAAGUCAUUAUUUUAAAAAUGAUAAGUGAUUUUGUAUGAUCGUUCUACUCUGACAAAAGAAUGAAUCAACCAUAAUAUUAAAAUACAUCAUUUAGAGGUUUAAUUUAGACAGAAUGUUUACAUAUAAUUAAACUUUACAUAUAAAUUCUCAAUUUCAAGUUAAUACAUGUCUAAACUAAUUUAAGGACAAUAUAAUUAGAAACAUAUUACAGCAUUGAGAAAUUGAUCAGCAUUUAUCAAUGCUAGUCCACAGCAUAUAAAAAGUAUUUUUAUCAUGUGAUUCUGGUGGGGCUGGUUUGGUGUUAUGCAAAUGAAAAGAAUCAUGUUAUAAAGUCUUGAUCUGAUGCUGUCAGAUGCAGAGGAGGAGAAACUCCCAUCAGAUCAUCUUCAACACCAACAUGUUCUCUGUAGCUCUGCUGCUGCUGCUGGCUGCUGCAUCCUGUAUAAAGUGUGAACAGUUGACACAACCAGCCUCUGAGACUGUGCUGCCAGGUCAACGUCUGACCAUCAGCUGUCAGGUUUCUUAUUCUAUGAGCAGCUAUGCAACAGCUUGGAUCAGACAGCCUGCGGGGAAAGGACUGGAGUGGAUUGGGUGGAAAUAUACUGGAGGUUCAUACUACAAAGAUUCACUUCGGAAUAAAUUCAGUAUCGACUUAGACACUUCCAGUAAAACAGUGACUCUAAAUGGACAGAAUAUGCAGCCUGAAGACUCUGCUGUUUAUUACUGUGCCAGAGAGCCACAGUGACACAAACCAGCUGCAGAGCUGAACAAAAACCCAUGAACAAGUUAUUUCAAACCUCUAGAAAGGUUAUUCAUUUAUUGUCUAUGUUUGGCUAAAAACAGAGUUGUGUUUGAAAUAAAUUCACA